AGGAAGAUAAGUUAAUAUUAAACUAAUGGGUUCAUGCCCCAAUUAUGGCCUAAGGCUUUUUCCUG
rnacentral:tRNA from 1 species